ACAGGUAAAUUGAAGAAGACUCAUAUAAUUUCGCUGUAUACGGUGCGAAAGUUUCUACGGGGCCGCCGAAAGGCUCUGCUAUGGGUGUCCGCCGCGCGGAA
rnacentral:ncRNA from 2 species